rnacentral:lncRNA from 1 species
GCGCCUGUGCCUGCCCCCAUGGCCUGCCGGGAGUUGGAGUUCCACUCCCGCGUACAAAAGCUAGCCAGAGGCCAAAAGCCAAGGAGGGAAAAGAACAAAAGGGUGAAAAAGUAAGCGCGUCCUCCCAGUCAGGGCGGAGUAUUCUCGCUUUUUUCUUAUGGAGACUGCAGCACGAUUAAGCUAGAGGCUGCCCUGCUUCGCCUCACGUCCCUAGAAGCUUCUCUUGAGUCGGGCCUUAUUAUCUGCGAAGUCAGGCCAAUUUAGGCGCUGGCCUGUGUUGAGCUGAGCUAGAAUGAGCCCCUGCUUGACAGCACAGGCUGGAGAGGGAAGCGGCAGCCGCCCACUCCCCAGGGGAGACUCG